GUGAAUAUAGCGCAUCUCUUCGGAGAGCGUGACCUCCACUUUUAACUCUGUGCAUUUUUUGGCGAGGGAACGAGACGAAAGCGACGCAAGUUGCAGACUCUCGCCUCUUGCGGCUCAAUUUUAAAACACUAGUUAAAGUAAUGUAACGAAAUAUCGAAACAAAAAAA
rnacentral:misc_RNA from 1 species